GGGCCGUUAGCUCAGUCGGUAGAGCAGCUGGCUUUUAACUAGUUGGUCGUUGGUUCGAAUCCAACACGGCCCACCA
rnacentral:tRNA from 2 species